UGGAGUUUGCUGGAGGUCCACUCUAGACCCUGUUUGCCUGAGUGUCACCAGCAGAGGCUGCUGAAGAGCAAAGAUUAUUGCCUGUUCCUUCAUCUGGAAGCUUUGUUCCAGAGGGGCACCCACCAGAUGCCAGCCAGAGCUCUCCUGUAUAAGCUCUCACAUGCUGCCUUGUGAAGAAGCUGAUUGCAUCCCGGGCAGCCAUGAUUGUAAGUUUCCUGAGGCCUCCCCAGCCAUGUGGAACUGUCCAUCACAGGUUGCCUGGGAACUCUGCACCAUGCCUCCUUACUCAUGGAACCAAGCUGAUGGAGUAUCUACCAUCUUGAAUGUUGCUGGUAGUCACAGAGGAAAGAGGUAUAAAAAGCUCAUUCUCACACUGCUAAUAAAGACAUACCCAAGACUGGGUAAUUUAUAAAGAAAAGAGGUUUAAUUGACUCACAGUUCUACAUGCCUGGGAAGGCCUCGAGAACCUUACAAUCAUGGUGGAAGGGGAAGCAAACACAUCCCUCUUCUUGUGAUGGCAGGAAGGAGAAGUGCUCAGCAAAUGGGGCUUACUCCCAUAACACGUGGUGAUUAUGGAAACUAGAAUUCAGGAUGAGAUUUGGGUAGGGGCACAGCCAAACCAUAUCAAAAAGGUGUUCACAAAUGUGCCAGGUUCUUUAAUUUUCCUUCUAAAAGUGUGACAUGUUACUUCCAUCUACAUUUUAUUGCCCAAGGAAGUCACAACUAACCUAAAGGGAUCAGGAAAGUGUAAUUAUAUCAUGUGUCUGAAAGUGGGGAGAGCCAGAAAUAUUUGGCGAGAAGCACCAACAUCAACUACUAGGAGUUUGGAUAAGAACGAAUA